UGAGUACGAGAUGCUACGGCAUCGAAGCAGUCUAUGUCAUACUUCCAAGAAAAGCUUGCACUGUCAUAAACAAAGAAUGCCUGUACCAUAACCGACACAGGUGGGUAGGUAGAGUAUACUAAGGGGCGCGAGAUAACUCUCUCUAAGGAACUCGGCAAAAUGACUCCGUAACUUCGGGAGAAGGAGUGCCUUAUUUCUAAGGUUGCAAUAACAAGAUCCAAGCAACUGUUUACCAAAAACACAGGUCUCCGCUAAGUCGUAAGACGAUGUAUGGGGGCUGACGCCUGCCCAGUGCCAGAAGGUUAAAGAAGUUGGUUAGCAUUAGCGAAGCUGAUAACUGAAGCCCUGGUGAACGGCGGCCGUAACAAUAACGGUCCUAAGGUAGCGAAAUUCCUUGUCGGGUAAGUUCCGACCCGCACGAAAGGCGUAAUGAUUUGGAUACUGUCUCGGAGAGGGGCUCGGUGAAAUAGACUUGUCUGUGAAGAUGCGGACUACCUGCACCUGGACAGAAAGACCCUAUGAAGCUUUACUGUAACUUGAGAUUGAAAUUGGACUUUAUUUGCGCAGUAUAGGUGGGAGGCGUUGAGAAUAAUCUUGUGGGAUUGUUGGAGCCAUCAGUGAGAUACCACUCUUGUAAUGUUAGAUUUCUAACUUUGUAUCAUUAUCUGGUCAAAGAACAGUUUCAGGCGGGCAGUUUGACUGGGGCGGUCGCCUCCCAAAGGGUAACGGAGGCGCACAAAGGUUUCCUCUGAACGGGUAGAAAUCGUAUCUAGAGUGUAAAGGCAUAAGGAAGCUUGACUGUGAGACCUACAAGUCGAGCAGGGACGAAAGUCGGUCUUAGUGAUCUGACGGUGCUGAGUGGGAAGGCCGUCACUCAACGGAUAAAAGUUACUCUAAGGAUAACAGGCUGAUCUCCCCCAAGAGUUCACAUCGACGGGGAGGUUUGGCACCUCGAUGUCGGCUCAUCGCAUCCUGGGGCGGUAGUCCGUCCCAAGGGUUGGGCUGUUCGCCCAUGAAAGCGGUACGCGAGCUGGGUUCAGAACGUCGUGAGACAGUUCGGUCCAUAUCCGGUGUAGGCGUUAGAAUAUUGAGAGGAGCCUUCUCUAGUACGAGAGGACCGAGAAGGACAUACCUCUGGUGUACCAGUUAUCGUGCCAACGGUAAACGCUGGGUAGCUAUGUAUGGAGUGGAUAACCGCUGAAAGCAUCUAAGUGGGAAGCCCACCUCAAGAUAAGUAUUCUCA
rnacentral:rRNA from 1 species